rnacentral:rRNA from 1 species
UUUUAUGGAGAGUUUGAUCCUGGCUCAGGAUGAACGCUGGCGGCGUGCCUAAUACAUGCAAGUCGAGCGAACGGACGAGAAGCUUGCUUCUCUGAUGUUAGCGGCGGACGGGUGAGUAACACGUGGAUAACCUACCUAUAAGACUGGGAUAACUUCGGGAAACCGGAGCUAAUACCGGAUAAUAUUUUGAACCGCAUGGUUCAAAAGUGAAAGACGGUCUUGCUGUCACUUAUAGAUGGAUCCGCGCUGCAUUAGCUAGUUGGUAAGGUAACGGCUUACCAAGGCAACGAUGCAUAGCCGACCUGAGAGGGUGAUCGGCCACACUGGAACUGAGACACGGUCCAGACUCCUACGGGAGGCAGCAGUAGGGAAUCUUCCGCAAUGGGCGAAAGCCUGACGGAGCAACGCCGCGUGAGUGAUGAAGGUCUUCGGAUCGUAAAACUCUGUUAUUAGGGAAGAACAUAUGUGUAAGUAACUGUGCACAUCUUGACGGUACCUAAUCAGAAAGCCACGGCUAACUACGUGCCAGCAGCCGCGGUAAUACGUAGGUGGCAAGCGUUAUCCGGAAUUAUUGGGCGUAAAGCGCGCGUAGGCGG